rnacentral:rRNA from 1 species
UUGUGGUGAAGGCAGUCAAUGUUAACUCCGCACACAUUUUUUUUAACGUCUAGUUAGGCCCCACGUACUAAUCAAAGUGAUACGGUCGUCGUCGUAUUUCGGCGCCAGGUGUCGGGUAGUUACUUUUCAGUUGGCCUCUUCUCUACUUUUUCUCCGCUCUAGCUCCUACCUCUUACAUGACAUCGCUUUCGACUCCACUUUCUUCCUAGUGAAAUCUUCUCUCUCUCUCUCCCUCUCCCCCUCUUGGCUUCGUCUCACGUCGGGUUGGUGUAGGAGGCAUGAUGUGCGAGCACCAUUGACCAUCAUCAUUGAAGGAGCGGGUACCGCUAGAGGCCGCUGCUGUCCAUGCGGGGGCGGCGGCUGAGGCCGCCGCCCUUCGAGACCUUGGAGACGGCGUACGGGAAGUCCGUCCGGUCGCCGCGCGGCCGCGGUCGCAGCAGGAGGAGGAGCAGGCCCUAGGUGGUGAGCCGGCCGGCGAUGCCGGUACUCCGCGGGCAGCGGCCUCUGCCGCCGCGGGGACGGCGCGGCCGGCCCUAGAGCUGCCAGCGGUUUAGAGACGACGGCCGCGCCGCGGCGGAGGCCGAGCUAGGCAGGUUGUUCGAGAUGAAGGGUAUACUUGGUCCGUUCGUCCAGUUCUCACGUUAAUCCUAUUUCUUAUGUUCGUUCAGUGUACAUCGUAAGUUCAAAGUUUGUUGACGUGGGUUCUCAACGAAAUACGCAGGAGGACCUCGGUAUGAACGGGGACCGCUCUGAUAGUAUCGCUGACAAAAGUUCAAACAGCUCGUGGGUCUCUUAUUACUCUUACAAGACGUCUUCACGUUCCAGUUCAAGUUCUAAAACUCGAACUUCCAGUUUCCUGGGUACCUUAUACGUGGUCUUAACCAAACACUGUAAGAUAAAAUUGGAAAAUGAAAGUGUGUACGAACAAUAAAGAUCGUUCAAACCGCUUGUAAAAGGUUAACGGCUGUAUAUGGAUGUCCACGAUAUCAAUAACCUCACUUUAAUCCGAAGAAUCUUUAGUUUGAUUUACACGAAGACUACGAGGUUUGGUUGAGAAGAUUGACGGACUCUGUAUCUCCCCUCCCCUAAAUACAGUCACAUGAGGACGACAACUUAACGAACCCACCUUCGAGUGAAAAAUGGUAUACUCAUGAGGACGGAUUAACCGAUGGAUUAAAGCGCUAAUUCCUGACAACUCCAUCUACAUCCAAUAAUUGACUUGUAAUUCCCAUUUGAAGGAUUGUGGUCGACGUUAACGUAACAACAAUCUGAUCCGGUCUGUAAAGUAAGGUUCAGGUAUAGUGGUGAGAUGGUAAUCAAAUAUAGCAUUUAGAGUACUCCUUUACCCAUUUAGGGUCAGCACUAGAACGGGGGAUUGAGAGGUUCCCAACUGUCUCGUGUUUAGUUGAGACUGGGAUUCCCAACUGUCUCGUGUUUAGUUGAGGCUGGGAUUGAGGAGACACUCCCCUAUAUUUGUUCUGUAGAGUAGAAGACGACAACAGUAUGACCCUCCGAACUGUCUGUAUGUGUGUUGUAUCCAUUCCUCUUUUCAAGUAAGGGUAAACUUCGACAACGUGCUAAAAAUAGUUGCCUCUGUUAGUUUCCCAGUUGGUACAGGGAUAAGUGGAGGUCAAACCGGUCACACAAGAACGGGGGAACUCGUGGGUAUGAAGUGCCUCUAUCCUCCUUCCCCCGUACCGCCAUUCUACCCCCCUCAACGUCCCUAGCUGACAAAACACUACCGUCGAGGUCCCCCUGUACCCUACUCACCCACAUUGUAGUUUUGUCUAGGGUAAUUGAUGCCGUCUUGACCAGGAUCUCUUCGCCGAACUGGAGAGGGGAGCGGUACAGAGGAAGUGUAUUACACUUACGACUACACAUUACAGGAAGCAUUGUUGUAUCCACCCAACAACCUCCACGAGCUCACUUCUUGUUUGACUGUUUAAAUGUCCGCUCAAGUUGGUGCAAACUGAGGGCCUAUUAUAUUAAUUACUUCUGAUGUCCUCAUGGACUUGACCUUAUCUCGGAGAAGAAAAGGAAGAGCAAAGAACGAGGAGAGCUCAAAACGAAUCACAAAAACAUGAACUCCCGAUCCUAAAACGAGUAGAGGUGAAUGUUCUCCUCCGCAGAACUGGGAAGUAACGGAAAAAAUGUCCGUACAACUCCCACCUGGAUACAAAAGUAUACGUUCUUACGAUUGAGUUAGGAGAGGCAUGUGAACAUAUCAAUCCUACAGGUUUAACCUACUCAAUUUUAAGAAAGGACUCCCCCUCCGAACCCCCGUAAGUUGAUCUUCUUAUACGACAAUUAAGUAGCUUACCUUGAACUAUCCCAUUUACAACUAUCUCAUUAGGAUCACGAUCCAUCAAAUCACGACAUCAGGUAAAACGGGACCAGACGAAAAUCACAAAUCAACCUAUGCUCCGUUACGAGUACGACAACCAGGGGGUAAGCACCAUAUUUAACUUUCUCCGCGUAUACAAACCAAGUUUGGAAUGGAAGUAUUGUUUGUCAUUGUAUGAACACUAAGUAUAGGGACGGCAAUUCCUACUUAAGAAAACAACCAACGUCAAGCUGCUCGUCUUUCUAGUCCGUCACCAACUCUUCUAUGACUCCCAACAAAAGAACCUACAAGUUUUGGGUCCGGGAGUUGACCUUUUCGACUUGUGAGUCAAUCGGCUCCGUCUUCGACGUGAACUCCGCGCCUUCUUUGGAGGUCUUCUCUUACCAGGAUUUUAACAACCACUUCCCGAACAGUAACUACUUACCUUUCUCUCCUCCCUUUCUAUGGAGCGUGUUGUUGUCCAACUUCGCCAGCUGAGCCACAUUUAACAUGGAAGAACACGAUCUCGUCGUAUACCGAACUCGUUACACAACACUAUUAAGAAUAUUUGACGAUCCAAGACGAUCAAAUCACACGCCAUCAAAUCUCAACACGAACUUCCUAGCCAGAGGUCACUUGUUCGAUUGGAAACCAACAAAGCCAUGAGCGACACAUUGUCUAUUUAAUUAACCGAACAGUCUUGUUAUUUCACGUAUACGCAUCGAAGGCAAAUAGAGAACGCUCUCGACGGAACGAAUACUACCAAAGAAUUACUACACAAUUAAAAAAAACAGCUAAGAAAACGACGAAGUGUUUUCUUGAAGACGGCCCAGAAAAUGUGAUGGAUACAGAAAUAUGAACUAUAAAUCUAGCCG